GAGCGGGACGGUCGCGCCGCUUGAAGCGGUGAGGAAAGUCCGGGCUUCAUAAGGCAAGGAUAACGGGUAACACCCGCCGAAGGCGACUUCAGGGAAAGUGCAACAGAAAUAAACCGCCGGGGCUUCCCCGGUAAGGAUGGAAAGGCGAGGCAAGAGCUCACCGGCGCACAGGCGACUGUGCGGCCCUGCAAACCCUAUCCGAAGCAACAUCUCACAGACAGGGGUCAAAAGCCCCGGGUCCGCCUGACCGUCAGAGAUGGCUCGAGGCGUCCGGCAACGGGCGUCCCAGACAGAUGACCGUCGGCAGAGCGAUCUGUCACAGAACCCGGCUUACAAGCUCAGUC
rnacentral:RNase_P_RNA from 1 species